CAAUCCUGGCAGAUGAAGACCAAAGGAAUUGUAACCUAUUAAAAUGUGGACAUCACAGAAGCAGAACUAUAAAGUAGUUAUGUAAUCUGCUUUUGAACUUAAAAAAUCAAUGGAUUACUGCCUUUCACCUUUUCUUCCUCUAUUCUUGCUUUAUUUUUGCAAGCUGAGAUUAAUCAUUUUAUGAGGCAUAUAAUUUUAUAUCAUUUUUCCCACUCUUUAAAGCUUGUGUAUAAAAACAUGUCAUGGUCAAUAAAAUAUCUUUGAAAUUUGCUCUGAAACAGAAAUUUAUGUUCCCUUUUAAAUGUAAUUCUUAAGGGACUCUUUAAAACAUGCAGAUACCUGGCAUGAUU
rnacentral:lncRNA from 1 species